GCCCGCCUAGCUCAAUCGGAUAGAGCGUCAGACUCUUAUGGCGGGAGUACACACCUUUGUGUGAUCUGAAGGCUGCGAGUUCGACCCUCGCGGUGGGCU